rnacentral:rRNA from 1 species
GUGCAAGGGCUGUCGCUGACUUUUAACGCAAAAGUCGUGCACGCCGGAGCGUGUCCUCUCACAUAAAAUCCAUCUCACCCUUUUGUGCACCACCGCGUGGGCACCCUUCGGGAUCAAACCGAUCCCGGAGGGGGCUUGCGUUUUCACACAAACCCCUUCUUAAAAGUGUAGAAUGUCCCCAUUUUUGCGAUAACACGCAAUCAAUACAACUUUCAACAACGGAUCUCUUGGCUCUCGCAUCGAUGAAGAACGCAGCGAAAUGCGAUACGUAAUGUGAAUUGCAGAAUUCAGUGAAUCAUCGAAUCUUUGAACGCACCUUGCGCCCCUUGGUAUUCCGAGGGGCACACCCGUUUGAGUGUCGUGAAAAUCUCAACCUUCUCGGUUUCUUCUGGACACCGAAGGAGGCUUGGACUUUGGAGGCCUUUGCUGGCGUCUCUCUCUUGAGAGAGCCAGCUCCUCUUAAAUGAAUUAGCGGGGUCCUCUUUGCUGGUCCUCGACAUGUGAUAAGAUGUUUCCAUGUCUUGGUUUCUGGCUCUGUUGCUUUUGGGACCCGCUUCUAACCGUCUCAACGAGACAACGUUUGAGCGCGUCUCCCUUCUCGGGAGACCCUCUCAACCUCACGAACCCUUGACCUCAAAUCGGGUGAGACUACCCGCUGAACUUAAGCAUAUCAAUAAGCGGAGGAAAAGAAACUAACAAGGAUUCCCCUAGUAACUGCGAGUGAAGCGGGAAAAGCUCAAAUUUAAAAUCUGGCGGUCUUUGNCCGUCCGAGUUGUAAUUUANAGAAGCGUCUUCCGCGCUGGAC